GGCGUGGGAGCAAAGGUAGCCAACCACACGACGGGACUCUUCCAGAUGGAGACGAAACACCACACGGCGGGGAAGAAAAAGAGGGAUCAGAUCUCAGACGCCGGCGUCCGUCUCCGCCAAGCUGCAUCGCCUCAAACGCUUUGUCCCGGCCAUCGCGCCGGCCAUGGCCGCCAUGUCGAAGAAGGCGACUCUCCAUCCCUUUCGAGUUCCGAGCUCAUUCUCCCCUCCGCCCCUAGCCUCACGCCACGUCCCGCGGACCGUACUAUAGCCUCCACAGCCGUGGUCGCUCGGCCACACGUAUCGGUCGCUUCGCAUGCCAUCGCUGCGGCGACAGUCGUGAUACCUGCCUUCGUCAGCAACACGUCCCAACCCGACUAAGCGUCCCGGGCCACCGCGAUACUUCAUUUCCGAAAUCGCUGCGGCGGCAGCAGUUAUGCAUGCCUUGCUCCAAAUAUAUAACACUGUGAGACUGAGUAGCAAAUCAAGUUGAAGUCAUCGGAAGUUGUCAAACCUCUUUUUUUUCUCUUUUUUGUAUGUUUUUUAGAGUCCAAUUUGGCUGGACCUAAAAAUAAUGGCUACGACUUGGUCCACCCUGGCUUCCAACAUAUGAAACUUCUUGCGUCUUCAUUAAAUUGUGCUAAUAAAAUGUGUGUUUCGUUUUGUUUUGUCCUGCUACAGGGGUGAACUAUAUGUGGGAACACUGAACCUGCAACCGAGACUGUAGCGAUUCGACAAUAUCACAAGAGGAUCAUACUUCUACUCCAUGACAACUGUAACCUACUAGAGCUGAAAGAAAUACAGAGCCUAUAAGAAGGAAAUGUAUGAGAUGCAACCAAUGUACAGUAAGCAACUUACCAUAUUUAUUUAUGACAAUUGUUCCAAGAAUUAAUAAGUAUUCCAGUGAGCGUCUCAAAAAUGGAAUCAAGAGGUGAGGAAAGACAUCGCCCCAGUUCUGUAGAGGAUGCCUUCGUUUUCCUCGGGUUUUGUUGUGUGUCCUGCUUACCAAGCAUUGAUAUCAAUUCGCCGAUUUGAUAGAUGAGAUGGUAACUAGCUGAAAACAGUAAUAAUUAGAAACCCAAGAGCGAUUUUGCGACGCCCUGCUGUGAGCCGACCCUAGCAGUCAAGGCUUCGUAAAUCAGAUUUAUCUGUCAGGUACAAUCACAGGAAAUGUUGUGGCAAAGGUAUGGCUUAAGAGAAAUCAUGUACCUAGAUGAUUUGUUGUCUAUACGAUUAGAUGGUGCUGUUCACCUUCAAUUUUUUCAAAUUUGGCACCACUCCAGUCACCAACCAUACAUAGAAAAGUUUUAGUGAAGUCAAUGAAGCAAACAUUUUAAUAUUUCAUUCUAUCAAUAAAAGUGUAGUUUUGCUUACGAUAAGACCUCCAUAAACAAUAAACACGGGUAAAUGAGAGUAUUGAUGGUUGGAAUGAGUGGUGGUAGCAGAAUGAUAUCUACAUACAUUGGUUUUAGGUACCAGCACCUUAUUUUUUUUAAUAAAAAUAUGUGUGAACUUGGAACUUUUUAAUAUGUGAGGAAGAUGGGUAGAUACUGUUGUUGUGGGCAGGGCAGGGCACCCGAGCAAAAGCAUAGAUGCGAAUGGGGAUGAAUAUGGGUUAGCUCUCUUCCCCUAUUUAUUGGAGUUGGAGGGAUACACUGCUGCUAUGGUUUGGUCUGUGAUGUCGUCUCAUUAGAAAAACAUUUGCUUGGCUUGUAUCUCAUUUCCUUUCUCAUUAGAGGACUUAAACUGAGCACAUGUUUGGCUUAUGCGCAAUGUAUGUGGCAAGCAAAAGCAAAUAUUAUCCUAUUAAUGUGCUCCUACUAACCUGCUCUGCCCACAAUUUAUUAUGGGUAGAUAUUGUUCCAAUUUAUUAUGCAUGUUGGCUUCUUGCAGGGAAUGAAUACAUCUUCCGUUUAUAUCAAUUGUGACUUAGAUGUAUGUCAGUCUUAGUAUGACUAUUAAGUUGUGACAUGAAUGUGAAUUCGAUAAUGUAUUUCAUAACUUCAUCUACACUACAGAUGUAUUGUGUUAUUGUUCCCAUUCACCAUUGAAAGUAGUUGUUAGAUCCAAAUUGAUUUCACUUUUA